rnacentral:pre_miRNA from 1 species
CUUGUACUCCCUCCGUCCGAAAAUACUUGUCAUUGAAAUGGAUGUAUCUAGAUGUAUUUUAGUUCUAGACACAUCCAUUUUGAUGACAAGUAAUUCCGGGCGGAUGGAGUACUUG